GAGGAUUCUUUCAAACCAUCGAUUUGGUAAAAAAGAAACAGAUUUUUACUUCGCUGGAAAGAAGGGCAUGACCUAUAUUGUGCCCCGAAAUAAACCUAUACCUGUGCUACGAACAAGCGCACAGAGAGUUUGAUUGAAAUUAAGAAAUUCCCGACAGACUCCGCUUUACGGAUCAGCGCUAGUUCAAUAUCUGUCUUGGAUCGAUUCUUCCCCAUCGCAACCAUCAGCGCCCGUAGAGUCAGCAUUACUACACGACUGAGUGGAGUUCGUCUGAGGACAAGAACCCCUCUCCCCCCAACUCACUCUUCAUCGCCGCCUCUGUGGUCAGUGACAAGGAAAUCGUUCUUCUCUCGACCUUUCUCGACGCCAUUGGUAUGAAAUCGAAGAUGUGCUAGAUUGAUUUCUGGAUGAACCGGGGAGGUUUAUAUCUUAAUCAAUACGAGGGAUUGACCCCUCUGCCUAACAAGACUCUAAGGUCCCUACAGGUAGCCCAAGUUCACAAAAGGACAACGAUUUCAGAGAAUAUUGUAACAGUCGAAGCAAGAAAGUGUGCUGGAUUAAAGAAAAUGAAUUCUUGCUCCUGCUGAAAAGACGUAAUCGAUCCGGACUGUAUUCAUAUGGUAAGAGGCAGCAGAGAGGGGAGAAAGAAAAAAAGGAGGGCCGUGGAAAAUAAAUCUUAUUAUUGAUAUACAAAAUUCCAGUUGCGACAUGUGUUGGUAUAGAGUCAGUGAGACGGGGAGGGAGGGCUUAGGCCAUUGGCUGGACCAUAGGUUAAGUGGAGGACUUCGGAGGAGGCUGCUAGAUCCUGGCGACGAGAACCCGGCACCGCGCACCUGUUUUGAGCCAAGUGCAAGCUAUCCGAUGGAAAGAAGGACCCAUCAAGAUUAUAGUAUUGGCAUCGCUAGUGCACCUUGGUUGAUUCACUUUGAUGGGAAGAUUCUGUAACUAGACUCGAACUUCUUCCAAAACAGGUGCUUCAAAGAUAUCUUAAACGGUGUCAGAGAUCAAACCCUGAACGUGCUUCAAUAGAGACUGCUGGGAUUUUCUUUCAUUUAUUAUGGCACACGUCUCUCCCACAAUAAAAGAUGUCGCGGGCCACAAGCUGUUGCAAGGAGCAAUUGACAAAUUAACUUUCGCUAAAAAAAAAAUUAUUCAUCAUGAAAAAUUCUCGCCUUUUGAUGUUUUGUGGUUAAAAUUUAAUGUUUCAUAAACCUAUAUUAUGGUUGAAAAUAUAUAAAUUGUUAAAAAA